GAAGGAAAUUAAGUACGGAAGUUCCUGAUUUCACGCUGUCAAGAAAAGCCUCUAGGAAGAGUAGUACUGCCCGUACCGCAAACCGACACAGGUAGAUGAGGAGAGAAUCCUAAGGUGAGCGAGAGAACUCUCGUUAAGGAACUCGGCAAAAUGACCCCGUAACUUCGGGAGAAGGGGUGCUCUAUUAGGGUGCAAGCCCGAGAGAGCCGCAGUGAAUAGGCCCAGGCGACUGUUUAGCAAAAACACAGGUCUCUGCAAAACCGUAAGGUGACGUAUAGGGGCUGACGCCUGCCCGGUGCUGGAAGGUUAAGAGGAGUGCUUAGCUUCGGCGAAGGUACGAAUUGAAGCCCCAGUAAACGGCGGCCGUAACUAUAACGGUCCUAAGGUAGCGAAAUUCCUUGUCGGGUAAGUUCCGACCCGCACGAAAGGCGCAACGAUCUGGGCACUGUCUCAACGAGAGACUCGGUGAAAUUAUAGUACCUGUGAAGAUGCAGGUUACCCGCGACAGGACGGAAAGACCCCGUGGAGCUUUACUGCAACCUGAUAUGGAAUGUUUGUACCGCUUGUACAGGAUAGGUAGGAGCCGAAGAGACGUGUGCGCUAGCAUACGAGGAGGCAAUGGUGGGAUACUACCCUGGCUGUAUGACCAUUCUAACCCGCCACGCUUAGCGCGUGGGGAGACAGUGUCAGGUGGGCAGUUUGACUGGGGCGGUCGCCUCCUAAAGAGUAACGGAGGCGCCCAAAGGUUCCCUCAGAAUGGAUGGAAAUCAUUCGCAGAGUGUAAAGGCACAAGGGAGCUUGACUGCGAGACUGACAAGUCGAGCAGGGACGAAAGUCGGGCUUAGUGAUCCGGUGGUUCCGCAUGGAAGGGCCAUCGCUCA
rnacentral:rRNA from 1 species